AUUGAACGCUGGCGGCAUGCUUUACACAUGCAAGUCGAACGGCAGCACGGGGGCAACCCUGGUGGCGAGUGGCGAACGGGUGAGUAAUACAUCGGAACGUGCCCAAUGGUGGGGGAUAACCUGGCGAAAGCCAGGCUAAUACCGCAUGCGCUCGAAAGAGCAAAGCGGGGGACCGCAAGGCCUCGCGCCAAUGGAGCGGCCGAUGUCCGAUUAGCUAGUUGGGAGGUAAAGGCUCACCAAGGCGACGAUCGGUAGCUGGUCUGAGAGGAUGAUCAGCCACACUGGGACUGAGACACGGCCCAGACUCCUACGGGAGGCAGCAGUGGGGAAUUUUGGACAAUGGGGCAACCCUGAUCCAGCAAUGCCGCGUGAGUGAAGAAGGCC
rnacentral:rRNA from 1 species